rnacentral:rRNA from 1 species
UACGGGGGGGGGCAAGCGUUGUUCGGAAUUACUGGGCGUAAAGGGCGCGUAGGCGGCUCGCUAAGUCGGAUGUGAAAACUCUGGGCUCAACCCAGAGCCUGCAUUCGAAACUGACGAGCUCGAGUUCUGGAGGGGAAAGCGGAAUUCCUGGUGUAGCGGUGAAAUGCGUAGAUAUCUGGAGGAACACCGGUGGCGAAGGCGGCAUCCUGGACCGACACUGACGCUGAGGAGCGAAAGCCAGGGGAGCAAACAGG